CCUACGGGAGGCAGCAGUGAGGAAUAUUGGUCAAUGGACGUGAGUCUGAACCAGCCAAGUAGCGUGAAGGAUGACUGCCCUAUGGGUUGUAAACUUCUUUUAUAUGGGAAUAAAAUGUUCCACGUGUGGGAUUUUGUAUGUACCAUAUGAAUAAGGAUCGGCUAACUCCGUGCCAGCAGCCGCGGUAAUACGGAGGAUCCGAGCGUUAUCCGGAUUUAUUGGGUUUAAAGGGAGCGUAGGUGGAUUGUUAAGUUAGUUGUGAAAGUUUGCGGGUCAACCGUAAAAUUGCAGUUGAAACUGGCAGUCUUGAGUAGAGUAGAGGUGGGCGGAAUUCGUGGUGUAGCGGUGAAAUGCUUAGAUAUCACGAAGAACUCCGAUUGCGAAGGCAGUUCACUGGACUGCAACUGACACUGAGGCUCGAAAGUGUGGGUAUCAAACAGGAUUAGAUACCCCAGUAGUC
rnacentral:rRNA from 1 species